UAAGGAAUAUUGGGCAAUGGGCGAAAGCCUGACCCAGCCACGCCGCGUGAGUGAUGAAGGCCUUCGGGUCGUAAAGCUCUGUGGGGAGGGACGAACAAAUCUGGGGCUAAUCACCCGGAUCCUGACGGUACCUCCUUAGCAAGCACCGGCUAACCCUGUGCCAGCAGCCGCGGUAAUACAGGGGGUGCAAACGUUGCUCGGAAUCAUUGGGCGUAAAGCGCACGUAGGCGGUCUGUUAUGUCGGAUGUGAAAGCCCAUGGCUUAACUGAGGAAGUGCAUCCGAAACUGGCAGGCUAGAGUACUAAAGAGGGUCGCGGAAUUCCCGGUGUAGAGGUGAAAUUCGUAGAUAUCGGGAGGAACACCGGUGGCGAAGGCGGCGACCUGGGUAGAUACUGACGCUGAGGUGCGAAAGCGUGGGGAGCAAAC
rnacentral:rRNA from 1 species